GUUUUAGAAAUUUCUCUCAAUACUCAUAAAUAAAGAAUAUAUUUAUUUUAUUCACUUUAAUAAUUAUCUAAUUUACCUACUAAUACAUCUCAGCCAUGAAGGUUUCUGUAUUUUAACGACAGAUGGUGUCAAAUUUGUUUCUUAAGGGUGAAUUAAAAAGAUGUUAGGGGUAGAUAGGGGAAUUUUUCUGUUGGGUCAAGGUCGGUGAAUUUUGCAUUGAAAGCACUAGAAAUGUAAUCAGGAAUUAUGUCGAGCCAGCAGCUUCUUUUCGAUCUGGAGUCUGAAUUUGAGGAUGACAAAAGAUUUAUUAUGUUGCAACUACCAUCAAAAAAAAAAAAAAAAGAAAAAGAAGUAAAACAAAUGAAUAUUUGCGAAAAAGAGGUCCAGGAAUUAAACUAUCUCAAAGAUUAGUUCGAGUCGAUCGACCAAUUAACCGCUACGCGGGAAUACGAUAUUGCAUACUCUAGAAGUAGUAAGUUAGCCGAUAGACACGUUGAUGAUAAAUUUUUAGAAAACAAGACCUGGGAACGAGACCAAGGACGCAAAGUUAGGCGUGAAAGUAAAUUCUUGGCCUACAAAUCAAAUAUAAAAGGCAAACGUAAAAUUGCGGUUAGGUUAGGUUUACAUUACACAGAUUUACAAAUAGUGCGGGGCACUCACUGGAAUGCUUGUGUGGAAACUGGAAGACAAAUUAUUUACUUCGACAGUUAUAUUCAUAUACCCCUGCCAAUUGAAUAAUUUAUCAAUUAUUUCAAUUUACCUUCAUCACACAUAUAUGUCCUUCAGUUUCACUCUUUGCGGUAAUUCAACAGAAUAAAGCUACAACCUUAACCCCCCUAUAUAUUUGGAUGAUGCUACAGACUAUGAAAAAGGUAUCACCAAUGUCAGCAUAUUCAAUUUUAUACCAGAUAUCAAUGGAACGAACAAUGUAUUAGCGUGGAGGGAGCAAGGAUAACAAUUUUUCACAAUAUACUGUGAUGAACUCGUCCCCGACAUUAAGCUGACCCUGUUCGGUUAUAAUGGCAUUCAAAGUUUUGGCGAAGUCGCGGCCCGUUUGAUGUCGAAAGAAAAGUCGAAACGUCAAAAUUAAUCUUUCUUAAAAAUUAUCAAAAAAAACUUAUUUUUUUAACAGAAGAGACUUUUUUAUUUCUUAGUGCUUGUAUGAACGUGUCAAAAUAAAAUUUAGACUACACCUGCAUGUCUAAAAAUUUACAGAAAACAUUUAAUAUCUGGAUAACGGUAAGCUUUAGGUAUAGGAAAUUAUACAUGAAUUUGCCUUAUUUUUCACCCCUGAAUGCAUUAAAAUAGAAAAAACCGGAGUUUAACCUUGAACUUGUUAUUGUUACAUAUUUAAGGAAUAAUAAAAUUUUUUUAUAAAAAAA